GACGAACGCUGGCGGCGUGCUUAACACAUGCAAGUCGAACGGAAAGGCCCUGCUUUUGUGGGGUGCUCGAGUGGCGAACGGGUGAGUAACACGUGAGUAACCUGCCCUUGACUUUGGGAUAACUUCAGGAAACUGGGGCUAAUACCGGAUAGGAGCUCCUGCUGCAUGGUGGGGGUUGGAAAGUUUCGGCGGUUGGGGAUGGACUCGCGGCUUAUCAGCUUGUUGGUGGGGUAGUGGCUUACCAAGGCUUUGACGGGUAGCCGGCCUGAGAGGGUGACCGGCCACAUUGGGACUUAGGUACGGCCCAGACUCCUACGGGGGGCAGCAGUUGGGAAUAUUGCACAAUGGGCGGAAGCCUGGUGCAGCAACGCCGCGUGCGGGAUGACGGCCUUCGGGUUGUAAACCGCUUUCGCCUGUGACGAAGCGUGAGUGACGGUAAUGGGUAAAGAAGCACCGGCUAACUACGU
rnacentral:rRNA from 1 species